GACGAACGCUGGCGGCGUGCUUAACACAUGCAAGUCGAGCGAUGAAGUUCCUUCGGGAAUGGAUUAGCGGCGGACGGGUGAGUAACACGUGGGUAACCUGCCUCAUAGAGGGGAAUAGCCUUCCGAAAGGAAGAUUAAUACCGCAUAAGAUUGUAGCUUCGCAUGAAGUAGCAAUUAAAGGAGCAAUCCGCUAUGAGAUGGACCCGCGUCGCAUUAGCUAGUUGGUGAGGUAACGGCUCACCAAGGCGACGAUGCGUAGCCGACCUGAGAGGGUGAUCGGCCACAUUGGGACUGAGACACGGCCCAGACUCCUACGGGAGGCAGCAGUGGGGAAUAUUGCACAAUGGGGGAAACCCUGAUGCAGCAACGCCGCGUGAGUGAUGACGGUCUUCGGAUUGUAAAACUCUGUCUUCAGGGACGAUAAUGACUGUACCUGAGGAGGAAGCCACGGCUAACUACGUGCCAGCAGCCGCGGUAA
rnacentral:rRNA from 1 species